GGAAGUAAAAGUUGUAACAAGGUCUCCGUUGGUGAACCAGCGGAGGGAUCAUUACAGGAUCGAAAGACUCCUAUAACCCCUGUGAACUUACUACAAAUACGUUGCUUCGGCGGGUGCCCCGGGUCUCCCGGGGCGUUCAGCCCGCCGGCAGCCUUCAAAUUCUGUUUCUUUGCGUUGGCAUCUCGAGUAUACAAAAAUAAGUUAAAACUUUCAACAACGGAUCUCUUGGUUCUG
rnacentral:misc_RNA from 1 species